AAAUGCUACGUUUAUAAUGUAUUUCCGACCCUAUUUAGCUAUGUAAUUCCCUUAACAAUAUUCAUAUUAACUAAGUUUGUGUUUUUAGGUCAUAAAUAAAGCCAAGGAGCCUAAAAGAGACAAAAGAGGAGAAAUCUUGAAGGAAAAGGAAUCCAUGUUGUGUAAGGAAAGAAAUCAGAAAAUCUGCCAGAAAUCGUCAGUCAACUUCGACAGAAGAUUGUGAUUAGCUCACAAUGAUGCAGGAGAUGUGCCAUAUAUCAAUGGAAAGCUACAAGAGUCUACUUUCCAGAACUUUUUACGGAUCGUCAAUACCUAUUUUGGAGAAGAAGUUAUGACCGUUUAAAUGACCGAAGGUCAGUCUGCCCGAAUUUCUUAUUUGGACCAAAACUUCUGUUUUGAGACCUAGACCACAUUGGUAAGCCCAUGGACGAGUUUUGAGGGUUUUAUAACCCUAAUCACAGACGUGAAGGAAGGAGGGAAAAAGGCCAGAGAGGACGUGAAGAUUAGAGGAGGCCAACGAUCUCACCAUCAUCAGAACCUCCAUAGUUGUAGACUCGCACAAGGAAGCCGCCAAGCCAUCAUUGAUUUCUCCAUCAUCCACGGUUUAUCUUUCCUUUGUCAUCUUUUAUUCUCCUUGUGUGUCUUUGCAGCCAUGUGUGGCUGAAUUCUCUUAGUUAGGGGCAAGGUUUGAAGCCCCAAGAAUGUUUUAGAUAUUGUUUUGAACCUUGGUUUCGAAUUAUUAAGUCUUUCAAAUUGUUUAUUUGGNNNNNNNNNNNNNNNNNNNNUGUGGCUGAAUUCUCUUAGUUAGGGGCAAGGUUUGAAGCCCCCAAAGAAUGUUUUUAGAUAUUGUUUUGAACCUUGGUUUCGAAUUAUUAAGUCUUUCAAAUUGUUUAUUUGGUUUGGUUUAUGGAGAACUCUUGCUUGUUUAUGUUCAUGUAUGCGCAACAUAGAACAUUAUGAACUUGUGAGUGGGGCUAGAAUUAGGUUGUUUAAUCUCCUAAACGGUUAAUACGGCUUAGUUCAAAGUAGUAAAACCUAUAGGAC
rnacentral:lncRNA from 1 species